CGUUAUGCGAAGUCGUGUGGUGCGCGUCUCCAUGAAUACCAUUUGAAAAAUUGUCGCAAUUACAACACCGCGCUCACAGCUACCAGAGGCCGGUGCAUGUAGAGAGAAUAACGCUAUGAAAAGACAAGCCUCAACAGUCUGGAGCCAGGGCACCGUCCCAAACAUCCCCGCCCCGUUCAUCCUCAUUUAUCAACAUCAUCCCCAUCUUCGGAGUCGUGGAGUCGCCCACUAGCAGAGUUCGAGCAGGACCAAGAGGAGAAAUGCGGGUAUUGAGAAGAGGAGUCACUGCCGCCUCAAAUACACGCCCGUACACAUCGUAGUUCCUGCCUUUACGUCACACUGGGUUCACCUAUUGUGAACUGAUAAUUAGAAAGAGACGGGUGCCCUGUAAAAGACCUGCUGCAUGAGGCGAACACCAAUGUUCAGGAGUGCAAAGCGCAUCGGGAACCCACUUCACAGGUCUGCGUGUUGAUGCGACGGUCCAACAUGGUGUCGGAGGAAUACAAGACCAUCGAGAAGGAACGAUCUGCCACAUGAUGACAACGACUUCUCUCAGCUCCAGGAUUCCUUCAAUGAGGAGGAACUGGACAGGUGGAGACAGAACAACCGCAGUCACAUGCUGUCUCUGAAUGGCUUUUCUGGUUUAAAGAAGCUCUUCGUAUUGUUCAACACCGGAAUUCUAUCAAGUGCACCAGUCGAAAGGCUCUUCAGUGUUGGCAGGGUACAUCUGUGGACUCAAGCGUGGGAGGAUUAAUGAUAAAAAAUUCGAAAAACUAUUGUUAUUGAAAUGCAACU